GGAUUAGGCAUGCAAGUCGAACGCGAAAGUUGCCUUCGGGCGAUGAGUAGAGUGGCGAAAGGGUGAGUAACGCAUAGAUAACUUGCCCGCGAGCCUGGGAUAAUCACUCGAAAGGGUGACUAAUACCAGAUAGUUCCCGCGAGAGGCCUCUUUUGCGGGAUAAAGGUGGGGACCUAACGGGCCUGCCGCUUGUGGAGAGGUCUAUGUCCUAUUAGCUUGUUGGUGGGGUAAAGGCCUACCAAGGCGAUGAUGGGUAGCCGGCCUGAGAGGGCGAUCGGCCACACUGGGACUGAGACACUGCCCAGACUCCUACGGGAGGCUGCAGUCGAGAAUCUUCCGCAAUGGGCGCAAGCCUGACGGAGCGACGCCGCGUGGAGGAUGAAGGCCUUCGGGUUGUAAACUCCUGUCACAUGUUAGGAACCGUUUCGGGUUAAUACCCCGAAGCCUGACGAAAGCAUGAGAGGAAGCUCCGGCUAACUUCGUGCCAGCAGCCGCGGUAAUACGAAGGGAGCGAGCGUUGUUCGGAAUCACUGGGCAUAAAGAGCACGUAGGCGGCCGAGUAAGUCAGUUGUGAAAUCCUCCGGCUCAACCGGAGAACUGCUUCUGAUACUGCUUGGCUAGAGUGCGGGAGGGGAGAGUGGAACUCCUGGUGGAGCGGUGAAAUGCGUAGAUAUCAGGAGGAACGCCGGUGGCGAAAGCGACUCUCUGGACCGCAACUGACGCUGAGGUGCGAAAGCUAGGGUAGCAAACAGGAUUAGAUACCCUGGUAGUCCUAGCCGUAAACGAUGGGCACUAAGUAGAGGGGUUUU
rnacentral:rRNA from 1 species